CUGCGGCAGCGACACUGUGUGUUGUUGGGUAGGGGAGCGUUCUGUAAGCCUGUGAAGGUGUGUCGUGAGGCAUGCUGGAGGUAUCAGAAGUGCGAAUGCUGACAUAAGUAACGAUAAAGCGGGUGAAAAGCCCGCUCGCCGGAAGACCAAGGGUUCCUGUCCAACGUUAAUCGGGGCAGGGUGAGUCGACCCCUAAGGCGAGGCCGAAAGGCGUAGUCGAUGGGAAACGGGUUAAUAUUCCCGUACUUGGUGUUACUGCGAAGGGGGGACGGAGAAGGCUAUGUUGGCCGGGCGACGGUUGUCCCGGUUUAAGUGUGUAGGUGUGUGUUCCAGGUAAAUCCGGUUCACUUUAACACUGAGGCGUGACGACGAGGCACUACGGUGCUGAAGCAACAAAUGCCCUGCUUCCAGGAAAAGCCUCUAAGCAUCAGGUAACAUCAAAUCGUACCCCAAACCGACACAGGUGGUCAGGUAGAGAAUACCAAGGCGCUUGAGAGAACUCGGGUGAAGGAACUAGGCAAAAUGGUGCCGUAACUUCGGGAGAAGGCACGCUGACACGUAGGUGAAGUGAUUUACUCAUGGAGCUGAAGUCAGUCGAAGAUACCAGCUGGCUGCAACUGUUUAUUAAAAACACAGCACUGUGCAAACACGAAAGUGGACGUAUACGGUGUGACGCCUGCCCGGUGCCGGAAGGUUAAUUGAUGGGGUCAGCGCAAGCGAAGCUCCUGAUCGAAGCCCCGGUAAACGGCGGCCGUAACUAUAACGGUCCUAAGGUAGCGAAAUUCCUUGUCGGGUAAGUUCCGACCUGCACGAAUGGCGUAAUGAUGGCCAGGCUGUCUCCACCCGAGACUCAGUGAAAUUGAACUCGCUGUGAAGAUGCAGUGUACCCGCGGCAAGACGGAAAGACCCCGUGAACCUUUACUAUAGCUUGACACUGAACAUUGAGCCUUGAUGUGUAGGAUAGGUGGGAGGCUUUGAAGUGUGGACGCCAGUCUGCAUGGAGCCGACCUUGAAAUACCACCCUUUAAUGUUUGAUGUUCUAACGUGGACCCGUUACCCGGGUUGCGGACAGUGUCUGGUGGGUAGUUUGACUGGGGCGGUCUCCUCCUAAAGAGUAACGGAGGAGCACG
rnacentral:rRNA from 1 species